rnacentral:rRNA from 1 species
AACAAAAACAUGGUUUUUUGAAUAUAAUUUAAAAUUUAAUCUGCCCACUGAUUUAAUUAUUAAAGGGCCGCAGUAUAUUGACUGUGCGAAGGUAGCAUAAUCAAUAGUUUUUUAAUUGAAAGCUUGUAUGAAUGAUUGGACGAGAUAAAAUCUGUCUUUAUUUAAUUUAUUUUAGAAUUUAAUUUUUAAGUUAAAAAGCUUAAAUUUAUAUAAAAGACGAGAAGACCCUAUAGAUCUUUAUAAUUAUUUAUUAGAGUUAUUUUAUUGAAAUAUUUUAUAUAUUAAUAAUUAAUUAUUUUAUUGGGGUAAUAAGAAGAUUUAAUUAAUUCUUUUAUUUGUUUACAUUAAUUUAUGAUUAUAUGAUCCUUUAUUAAAGAUUAAAAGAUUAAGUUACCUUAGGGAUAACAGCGUAAUUUUUUUUUAGAGUUCAUAUCGAUAAAAAAGUUUGCGACCUCGAUGUUG